rnacentral:rRNA from 1 species
AUAGGACCCAACGGGUACUAUGUUUGGAAUGAGUACAAUUUAAAAACCUUAACGAGGAACAAUUGGAGGGCAAGUCUGGUGCCAGCAGCCGCGGUAAUUCCAGCUCCAAUAGUGUAUAUUAAAGUUGCUGCGGUUAAAAAGCUCGUAGUUGGAUUUUCGGAGUUGUUAUCUGAACCUUCUCGCCCUAAAAAGUGGGGGGGCUAAGGUAGCAGUAGUUUUCAUCAUAGUCCAUCAGGAUACUCUCUUGAUGUGUACUGGGGUGUUAACCUCCUUUUUUUCUGGUACUUGCUAUCCAGCAAUGGGGUAGUUUUUGUCCAGAUAGUUUACUUUGAAAAAAUUAGAGUGUUCAAAGCAGGCAUAAUUGGCAUCAUGAAUACCAUUAGCAUGGGGAUAAUAGAAUAUGACAUUGGUCUUAUUUGUUGGUUCUAAGGCCAAGUAAUGAUUGAUAGGGA